GAUGAACGCUAGCGGCAGGCUUAACACAUGCAAGUCGAGGGGUAGAGUUCUUCGGAACUUGAGACCGGCGCACGGGUGCGUAACGCGUAUGCAAUCUACCUUUCACAGAGGGAUAGCCCAGAGAAAUUUGGAUUAAUACCUCAUAGUAUAAUGAUUCGGCAUCGAGACAUUAUUAAAGUCACAACGGUGAAAGAUGAGCAUGCGUCCCAUUAGCUAGAUGGUAAGGUAACGGCUUACCAUGGCAACGAUGGGUA
rnacentral:rRNA from 1 species